CAUUCUCAAAAAAGAAUACAAUAGAUUAGAAAAUGGAUUAAAUUCAAAAUUUUCAAUUUUGUAACGGGUCAAUUCGCCUCUAACCAUCAAAUUAAAUGUGAAUAACCCGUCCUCCUCCCAGAAAACUGAAUUGUUUUUAUUCAAAAAAAAGACAUUAAUUUUAUUACGACAUGCUAUUUUUUCCAUUCAUUACCUUUGAGGAUCAGUCGUGGUCAGCUUGACGUGGUGGAAGUCACUAGUUCGAGCCUGAUAGAUUUUCUUUUAUAUAUAUCGAGAUAUAGAAGUUUAUUUAUGUCGAGGUUCAAAACCUUGAUAAAAUCAAGAAAAAUAAGAAAAUCUUUCAUAUUCUCUCUUACCACUUGCACAAAAUAGAGGUAUUUUAUUAUUAUAUAAAUAAAUACGUAUAACAUAUAAUAAAAUACCGUAAAAUUGAUUUUCGACGAAAUAAAAAAGACAGUUUCCAUUGAGUCUCUGCACCUAUCCUUUUCCUUUGGGUUCUCCCCCAAAUAGUUCGAUUUUUCCUCCACGUCGAUAACGAGCUAAAAGAUCGACCACUCAUAUAAGUUUUCCAUCUUCCAUUCGAAAACUUUCAAUUCGAAGAUCCUCUUCAAUCUUACUCAAAAGGUCCAGAGACCUCGCCCGUGAAGUAAAUCAUCGCCCCUACGAUCCAACUAAUUGUACUUUUUUUCUCAGAACAAGAGAAAAAAUAAAAAACUGUGG
rnacentral:lncRNA from 1 species